GCCCUGUUAGCUCAGUUGGUAGAGCACUGAUCUAGUGUUACAGUGGUUGUGGGUUCGACCCCCACACUGGGCU